AGAAAUUAAAAGACUGUUUCUUAACUUUUAACUAAAAAAGCUAAGAACUAAUUCUUAAAAUCUUUAUUUAAAAACCGAUUCUUAGUUUUUUUAGUUAAAAAUUAAGAAACUAUUUUUUAACUUCC
rfam:Brassica napus, WGS project CCCW01000000 data, contig: 471